ensembl:snRNA U6 U6 spliceosomal RNA
GUGCUGCUUUAGUAAUGCAGACAUUGACAUUCAAAUGACAGAGAAGGUUAGCAUGGACCCUAAAGAAGGAUGAUGUUCAAAUUCAUGAGGCAUUUCAUAUUUAU